rnacentral:tRNA from 1 species
GUGGGUAGAGCUCAGUGGUAGGGUGCAUCCUUGACAUGUUCUAGGUCCUGGGUUCAAUCCCCAGUACCUCCA